rnacentral:rRNA from 1 species
ACGCUGGCGGCGUGCCUAAUACAUGCAAGUCGAACGGUCUUUCUAUGGAAGCUUGCUUCCACUGAGAAGAUAGUGGCGAACGGGUGGGUAACACGUGGGUAACCUGCCCAUAAGAGGGGGAUAACAUCCGGAAACGGGUGCUAAUACCGCAUAGUUUUCUUGAUCGCAUGAUUGAGAAAGGAAAGACGGCCUUUGUGCUGUCGCUUAUGGAUGGACCCGCGGCGUAUUAGUUAGUUGGUGAGGUAACGGCUCACCAAGACGAUGAUACGUAGCCGACCUGAGAGGGUGAUCGGCCACAUUGGGACUGAGACACGGCCCAAACUCCUACGGGAGGCAGCAGUAGGGAAUCUUCCGCAAUGGACGAAAGUCUGACGGAGCAACGCCGCGUGAGUGAAGAAAGGGUUUUCGGAUCGUAAAACUCUGUUGUCAGAGAAGAACAAGUUGGAGAGUAACUGCUCCAGCCUUGACGGUAUCUGACCAGAAAGCCACGGCUAACUACGUGCCAGCAGCCGC